CGGACGGGUGAGUAACGCGUGGAAAACCUGCCGUAUACUGGGGGAUAACACGUUAGAAAUAGGUGCUAAUACCGCAUAAGCGCACAGCUUCGCAUGAAGUGGUGUGAAAAACUCUGGUGGUAUACGAUGGUUCCGCGUCUGAUUAGCUUGUUGGCGGGGUAAUGGCUCACCAAGGCGACGAUCAGUAGCCGGCCUGAGAGGGUGAACGGCCACAUUGGGACUGAGACACGGCCCAAACUCCUACGGAAGGCAGCAG
rnacentral:rRNA from 1 species